GUGGCCAUGGUGUAGAGGCAACACAGCAGGUUGUGGUCCUGUUAUCACGGGUUCGAUUCCCGUUGGCCACCCCA
rnacentral:tRNA from 1 species